UAUUCUGGUUUUAGUUAAUCCAAACUAGAACACAGACUCUUCUUCAGAGAGUGUGAGAGAGCGAACGCGGGCGGUCGGUUCUAAUGGAGACGAGGGAGAGCAAACUUACAUGAAACCAAGGUAGAGGUCUUUGUGUUCGUGUUCCAGCCAGGAAGGACGAUGAUUUCUUGACUCAGAUUUUUCUUGGAUGAAGUAGUAGAUUCAGAACACAAAAACGGCCGCCGGCGUGUUCUUACAGUACGAACAACAUCAAACUGAUCGAUUGAAAGGAAACGAGUGUUAAAAACGUAGCUAGCACUACCAAAUCUGAUUCAGCAAAGGCGACAAGAGCGCAAAACAAGUCAUAGGUCUGUGUCUGUGUUCGUGUUCCAACCAGGACCAUGACUCAGAUUUUCUCAAGGACGUAUGAAGCACAUUCAGAACAAACACGGUCGCCGACGUGUUCUUACAGUACUAACAACAUCAAACUGAUCGAUUGAAAGAUAGGAGAUAUGCUUUUGUUUGAAGAAUUAAGAAGAUUCAGAACCAAACAAUAACUAAACCUUCGCCUUACGGGACGACCGGCCCAACAGCAAGUCACCAAUAAUGGGAAAAUCCUCUAAUCCAAGAUGAAUAAUAUCUGGUGGAAGUAUUGUUUUCGUGCCUUUCUUCUUUUAACUCUCAUCUGAUUUGACGAGAAACUCCACAACGACAUAAAAAGUUUCUUUUUGGAGAUUCUGUGAUACAGCCUUCCACAAAAACAACUCGUCAUCGGAGGAGAGAAGAAGCUCAUUGCUGUUUUCCAACA